CGGUAGGGCGGGACCGGGGUGGAGGUAAUGUCUGGGAAACGUCUCGAUGGAGGGGGAUAACUACUGGAAACGGUAGCUAAUACCGCAUAACGUCGCAAGACCAAAGAGGGGGACCUUCGGGCCUCUUGCCAUCGGAUGUGCCCAGAUGGGAUUAGCUAGUAGGUGGGGUAACGGCUCACCUAGGCGACGAUCCCUAGCUGGUCUGAGAGGAUGACCAGCCACACUGGAACUGAGACACGGUCCAG
rnacentral:rRNA from 1 species